AUAAACAGACUCAUGAAAGCAACCCAAAAGAUCGAAAGGAAAAGAUAGAAAGAGAAAGGCAUGUUAUUGGUCAAUUAGGGUUUGUCGAAGUUAAAGAAUGUAUUUGAUUUAAUGGCCUGAUUAACUUGUCAUUAUCGUGAAGGUUUACAAAUGUAGAAUAAAGGUUUAUCAGAAAGGAGCUCAAGACUAAAUUAAGCAUGAUCCUAGCUAACUCUUCUUGAUGCCAUGAACUAUACCUAGAGAAUAUUUCUUUUUUUAAUCUUACUUAUGAAAGAGAAGAGAAAAGCAUAUUAUUAUAUCUUGCAGAUCCUAGAACAAGUAAGCAAACAUGGCCAUGCCACAUAAGGGUUGUCUUGUGGAAAUUGACAACUAAAUAUAUAUAGUAUAUCAAUCAAAAUUAACAAUUCAACUUUGUCUUUGCAGGAAGAAACCAAGGGAAGGAAAGAAAAGAUAGCAAGCAGACAGAAGCUUGGACACCCUACAAGCAAAGAGAGCAACGCCUCUUAUUUUUCUCCUUCGAAUUUGGCUUAGUUUACACUAUGACCUUAAGUGCUAGCUUAACCCCUACUGCAAUGGCGUGCUUGAGAUGUUGCUCGGAUCGGAAAACCCAGGUACCACUUCAAGCCUAGGUUAUCCCACGAAAUCAAUCGAUCAAGUCAAAGGUCAACCCAUAUCUUCACAAUAUUGCUUCUAUCUUUGAUUAUUUCAUCAGUCUUUCAUCUCUCUCGUUUCUCUUCUUCCUCUGUCACAUCCAGUCAAAUUGAUGUAUACUCUCAUUUUGAUUGUGAUCUUGUACAUGGUGACUUCAAUGUGUAGGAACUGUGGCGUUCUAGAACUCUAAGCUAGGAACAAACAUGCAUUCCAAAGGGAUGGAAUAAGUAGUUCACCUUUUGAACUUGUGAUCUAAAAACGCCUUUUGAUAUCAAAAGACUAUACUUUUAUUGUUUAGGUUAACAUUUUAUACUCACAAUCAUUCAAUAUACUGAAUUUCCCUACGAUGAGGAUGAAACCUUUUAAAUUAACUGAAAUCUCACUUCCAUCCCAUUCAUUUGGUCUAAUCUAACCUCAAAAUUCAUGUUUCAUAAAAUUUUAGUAUAAAUCUCACUUCCAUCCCAUUCAUUUGAUAUCAAAUGACUAUACUCACUUUCAUCCCAGACCGGCACCAAAUUUUCAGGGACCGAGCCCAGACUGACCACUAACACACCGGGCUAGGCUAGCUGCUUCUGAACUUAGGGACCAGUGAAAUCCCAGACCGGCAAAAACCUUACCGGUCCCGACGUCUCGCCGGUCCUUCUCCACUCCGACCCAUGAAACUGCAAGGACUCGUCUAGUCGUUUCUCUCCGGCGAGAAACUUCAAGCCCUAGAUAAACAUAAGAGAGUUUAUAAGAGAUAUGUUUCAUUUACACUACUUAAUUGACAAAAGAAAUAAGAGAGUUUGGACAAGCGUUUCCAAUAAUAUUUUUUUCAUUAAUAUAAUCCAAAUGUCGACACAUGCUACACAAUAUGUUCUUAGAAAUACUGUAAUUGAAGGUUUGGAAAGAGGCUAAUGAACUGAGUUCAAUUCGCAAUGUGACUUGCCGGUGGGCAAGUCAUAACUUCAAAGAUCGGAAUGGGCAGCCCAAGUUGAUGAUCGAUUAAGGUUUGUUGCAUUUGACGUCAAAAAUGAGAGUACUUGACACACCAUUGAGGCCCGAGUGAUCAGCUAACACAACUUUCAAUCAAGAGACUAACAAGCAUGCAGGAGUGUGACAGUGGAAAGAUCCUUAGAUGAGCUUUUGAUGAAUGUUCCUUAUUGUUUGGAUGAUUGCAGAAAGGCGGAUGGAUAGUCCUUGCUCAUCAAAGAGUCGGACUCCUUGGUACUGAUGUUGCAGAAUGUAAUGGCGUCUGCAAUAUUGACUGUCUGAAGAUCAGUCCAGCAACCAAUUGAUUGUUAAGAGACCACACGAUUUUCAUGCAUAUGUAUGAGCUUUGGAUGCGACAAAGCUCAUAGUAUUUUUUCCUGACGAGUUUAGGAAUCCGAGAAUUGAUGUUUCGGUCACUGAAGAUCACCUUGAACUUUUCCAUGCAUAUUACUUCUUUCAAAAGAGUGACAACAGACUCUGGAAGCCAGCUCCAUCCAAAAAUCAAGGUCAACAUUACAUUCGCUCUCUACACCUACAUAAUUGUCAAUAUGACUGAACAUAUAUAUUCACUCUAUAUGUAGUGUGCUCACAAGACUCAGUUUUGGAUGAACCCCCUAUAAACUGCUGUGUUUUUGUAUUCAUCAAUUUACUUUGUUUAAAUGGUAGAAUAGCAGUAAGGAUCUAGGGUGCUUAGUUGCUUACACUAUAGACGCAUUUUAACUCCCCGACCCAAGACUUACUAUAGAGGAUAAAUCUCAUUUGUCGCAGGCCGGAGUCAAGACACCAUUCAAGUUGUGCAUUGAUUGCCUGGUUGGGUAACAAGCUAGACAUGCAAUUCAUGAAAAGAGAUUUUGGAUAACAUGAUAGUAGAGCUGCUAUCACAAAGUACUACUAGUGCACUUGUUUUGAAUAUGACUAGCUAGCUAGCUAAGUUUAUUCAAAGCCCUUCUCAUCUAGACACCUUAACAUGCACACGAAGCGGCUGCUAUGAACGCAGCCUCGAUCAAUAGUAUAAAGAUUAACCACAUGUUGUUUCUUGGAAGACCAAGACACAACUAAGCACAAACUCAUAACCUCAAGUACUCUUUAUUUCAUCAAAAUACCAUGCCUAAUCACUGCCUGUAUAAUCCAACAACUCAUCAUUGUCGAGCUCACUUCUUAUAAAGAACUCCAAGGUUAAUCGGCUCAUUCACCCUUCUCAUUUCUCUUGCAGCAUCAUACACUGAUUGCUCAUACCCCACCCUUUCUGCUUCAUAUUUUCCUUUCAUAAAGUCCGCCAAACUCGUCCUAACCUAUGCCCACUCUCGUGACUUUGUACGUCAGUGAUUUUGCAGCAACACUUCUCGCUUGACUGCGCAAGCCCACAUUUAUACCUAACAUCUUAGAGGCGUGGUCUUGUCCCAUGGCAAAAACUCACGCUGACACCUUGAACAGUUGAACCGAUGAUGAAUAUCUAAUGGCAUCAACAAUAUUGACAGUCUCGGAGAUCAGUCCAGCAACCAAAAGGUCGUUAAGAGCACAAGUUUUUCAGGCAUGCAUGAGUUUUGGAUGCUCAUACCUGCAUGAAAAUCUUGUGGAGUCUCUUAACAGCCAAUUGGUUGCUGGACUGAUCUCCAAAACGGUCAAUAUUGCAGAUGCCAUUACAUUAUGCAACAUCUCCGAGUUUAAGACAUGGGACAAGACAAAGCAUAUAAGAUUCGUGCGCUACGAGGAGAGCGGACUUAAUUAGUUGACUGAACAAUUAACCAAAUUAGCGGACUUAGUCUUGCCAGAAUUAAGAGGAUAUUUUUUUUGGCAAGAAUAAGGUUGCAGAAAACAAUUAACCAUCAGAGAAACACAGCAAAGAACAAGUUUAUAUAUAUGUAGUUGACUGAACACAUGCAACUAAAUAAAUUAAAAUGCAUAGAGAACCAAAGCACUAGAGAAGGUUAAUGACUGACGAGAUGGAACAACUUAGAUAUUAAUCAAGCAAAACUCCAGUUCAAG
rnacentral:lncRNA from 1 species